rnacentral:lncRNA from 1 species
GUGUAUUUCUUGUUUUGUAUAUAAAUAAAAUUCUCUUAAUUAGAAAUAAUAUUUCUUAUAUUACAGAAAAUAAAAGUUUCGCUAUUAUUAUUGUUCUUCAUAAAGGACUUUGGAAAAGCAUCUCUCAUCCUAGAGAUGAAGAUCUAUAGAGAUAGAUCUACGAGACUAUUUGGAUUUUUUUAGUCCAACAUACAUAGGGUACUUAUGAGUAAAAUUUAUUCUAUCAUAUAUACUAUAUACG